rnacentral:rRNA from 1 species
UACAGAGGGUGCAAGCGUUGUUCGGAAUUAUUGGGCGUAAAGCGCGUGUAGGCGGCCUAGCAAGUUGGGUGUGAAAGCCCUCGGCUUAACCGAGGAAGUGCACCCAAAACUACUAGGCUUGAGUACCGGAGAGGAUGGCGGAAUUCCCGGUGUAGAGGUGAAAUUCGUAGAUAUCGGGAGGAACACCAGUGGCGAAGGCGGCCAUCUGGACGGAUACUGACGCUGAGACGCGAAAGCGUGGGGAGCAAACAGG